UCAGAUUUUGAAUCUAAUACAAGAUUAAUGGAUGGAACACCAAUUAAUUGUUGAGCUAAUUUUUCAAAUAUAAUGAAAGUUGUAACGUUAAUAUCAUCUUCACCAAUAGCAUUUAAUUUAUACCUGAUAAAAAUGAUAAUUUUUUAUAAAUUUUAUUUGAUGAAAAUAAUUUUUUUUUGUCAGAAAAAACUAAAAAAGAUUAUAGUCUUACCAUAGUACUGGAGGC
rnacentral:lncRNA from 1 species